UUUGUGUGUAGAAAGGAGGAGGACAU
rnacentral:piRNA from 1 species